GUGCCCAAAGACAGCACAUGUACUGACACUGGAACAAUACAGAGAAGACUAACUUGGCCCCUUUGCAGGGAUGAUGUACAGGUUCAUGAAGCAUUCCACUUUUUU